rnacentral:rRNA from 1 species
CACAUGCACGUCCGACGAGAAAGGGAUUGCUUGCAAUCCUGAGUAGAGUGGCGCACGGGUGAGUAACACGUAGAUAAUCUACCUUCAAGCCUGGGAUAACUAUUCGAAAGGAUGGCUAAUACCGGAUGAAGUGGUUUAACAUAAGUUAAAUCAUGAAAGAUUGCCUCUUCUUGAAAGCAAUUGAUUGGAGAUGAGUUUGCGGACCAUUANCUUGUUGGUGGGGUAAAAGCCUACCAAGGCUGCGAUGGUUAGCUGGUCUGAGAGGAUGAUCANCCACACUGGAACUGGUACACGGUCCAGACUCCUACGGGAGGCAGCAGUGAGGAAUUUUGCGCAAUGGGGGCAACCCUGACGCANCAACGCCGCGUGAGUGAANAAGGCCUUUGGGUCNUAAACUCUGUCNACAGGGAAAAAUUAUANUUUCCAAUANGUANCUGUAUUGACCGUCCUGUAAAGAACACCGCUACUCCUNCCACACCCCGGUAUUCCGGGGUNCACCUUUUCNAAUUUUUGNCNUAANGCCCCUANCCGUUUUCNNCAAUUAAANCCCNGCUNACCCUNACUCUUUAANNCANAAUUNUCCNNAAAAACNAAUCU